rnacentral:tRNA from 1 species
GUUUUAAUAGCUUAAGGAGAGCGUGGCUCUGAAGAUGCUAAGGUAGAAGUUAACUUUUUUAAAACA